CCAGGUGCUGGUUUGAGAAGAGGGUUUAGCAAUGCGGCAUGGCACGCCCUCGUAGAUUGCGUGAAGUAUGACCACCCCUGCGUUGUCCUGUCCUGGGAAAUAACCAGUAGCACUUACCGUACAAGAGAGGCGACAAUGGCCGGGAAAGAAACAGCUGGACCCCGCUUUACGAUGUCGAGUGGCAGUUGCAGCGUGGACCAGGGUACAAGCAGUGCAGCCACUGGUCUAAACCUUGGCAGAUUGCGUGAAGUAUAGCCAGCCCUGCGCUAUCCUGCCAUGGGAAAUAACCGGCUGCACGGUGCGUACGAGACGGGUGACUAUGGCCGGGAAAGAACCAGCUCGACCAUAUGUGACGAUGUCGGGUGGCAGUUGCAAUGUGGGCCAGGCUGCAAGCAGUGCAGCCUCUGAUCUGGACAAUAGCAGAGUUUCAGAAGAAACCCGAGAAGCAGCGCGGCAGCAGCGAGAGAACCAGGCUGCCAACAGAAUCCUACAGUGCCCUGUUUGCCGGAUCGCUUUCACCGACGUGGAGGCCUUCAAAAACCACGCCUGUGACCACUCGUUUGAGAAAACCCUCAACUGCUUCGAUUGUGGGAAACUAUUCAAGACACAUUGGGGCCUCACGAGGCAUUUACGCACGCACGGCGAGCCAUUCUAUGUGUGCGGCGUGUGCGGCAAAAUAUUCCCUACCAAAGAUGGACACGAGACCCACAUGUUUCUAUUCCACGCAGGCGCACAGGAUUGAGAAGCCGUCGAAGGGUCUGCUUAACACGGUAGCACACACCACGAAAUUGGUCCGGCACGUCGGGAAGCACAGUCGCAGGUCUCGCAUAUGCGUCGGUGUAGCCGAACGUUCACCCGUGAGGAGUAACUUCUCUGGAUGUCACCCUGGCUCCAAGACGUGUCGUGUGCCUACGGAGAAAAACUUGUGAUCUGGGCCUCAACUGUUCUAGCUGUGCGCUGACUACUUGACAAACCAAAGGGGGCUAAUUUUAUUCCUUCUGACUAUGGCUGAAGAAUGCCUGCGAAUAAAUUUCUUACAGUGGUUA